GACGAACGCUGGCGGCGUGCUUAACACAUGCAAGUCGAACGGAAAGGCCCUGCUUUUGCGGGGUGCUCGAGUGGCGAACGGGUGAGUAACACGUGAGUAACCUGCCCUUGACUUUGGGAUAACUUCAGGAAACUGGGGCUAAUACCGGAUAGGAGCUCCUGCUGCACGGUGGGGGUUGGAAAGUUUCGGCGGUUGGGGAUGGACUCGCGGCUUAUCAGCUUGUUGGUGGGGUAGUGGAGUACCAAGGCUUUGACGGGUAGCCGGCCUGAGAGGGUGACCGGCCACAUUGGGACUGCGGUACGGCCCAGACUCCUACGGGAGGCAGCAGUGGGGAAUAUUGCACAAUGGGCGGAAGCCUGAUGCAGCAACGCCGCGUGCGGGAUGACGGCCUUCGGGUUGUAAACCGCUUUCGCCUGUGACGAAGCGUGAGUGACGGUAAUGGGUAAAGAAGCACCGGCUAACUACGUG
rnacentral:rRNA from 1 species